rnacentral:rRNA from 1 species
GCCCGCUCAGAAACUUAAAGGAAUGACGGGGCCCGCACAAGCGGUGGAGUAUGUGGUUUAAUUCGAUGCAACGCGAAGAACCUUACCUGGUCUUGACAUCCCGGAGACCCUUAGGAAACUAGGGGGUGCUUCCAUCUGGAAGAAUCUGGAGACAGGUGCUGCAUGGCUGUCGUCAGCUCGUGUCGUGAGAUGUUGGGUUAAGUCCCGCAACGAGCGCAACCCUUGCCUUUAGUUGCCAGCAGUUCGGCUGGGCACUCUAAAGGGACUGCCGGUGUUAAACCGGAGGAAGGUGGGGAUGACGUCAAGUCCUCAUGGCCUUUAUGACCAGGGCUACACACGUACUACAAUGGCCGAUACAAAGGGCAGCGACACUGCGAGGUGAAGCCAAUCCCGUAAAAUCGGUCUCAGUCCGGAUUGGAGUCCGCAACUCGACUCCAUGAAGUUGGAAUCGCUAGUAAUCGUGGAUCAGCAUGCCACGGUGAAUACGUUCCCGGGCCUU